UUGAGCUGAUCAAAAUCAUCACCCCUAAUGCUAGCCUUCUGGAUGAGACAAACUUACCUCUUCGCGCAAGGGCAGUUAACUGAAAACGAAUGGCAACUAUUCCUCUAAAGGGGCUAGGCCUUCUUCCUCUCAACAAUGAGAUACCUAUCUGAAUGCAGGAGUGCUUUCAGAGCAGCUUCCAAUAACCACGAAAAUGCAAACUGAACAGGAGUCUUGACUGAAGGAUCUGGAAUCAGACAGCCUGGGACCAUUGCUACUUAUAGCCACGGUUUUCCCCCUAAUUAUGAAUCUUAGUUUUUUUUUAAUGUGUGUUCUCUCCCCCAAUAAUUCUUUUCUUGAUCUUCUUAAUCAGUUCCUUUGUAUUGUCCCAAUUUUAUCUUACAUCCAAUCUCCUCAAAGAGCCCUAAAUAUACUCUAAUGUUAUUUUCC